rnacentral:pre_miRNA from 1 species
UUGCGUAGGCGUUUUGCACUGAUUGAUUAUAAAAGUUUAGAACAAAGGCUUUUUGGGGCUUUUGUUUUACGUUCAGUGAAAAAGCCUAGACGCAAAA